rnacentral:rRNA from 1 species
UACGUAGGGGGCAAGCGUUGUCCGGAAUCAUUGGGCGUAAAGCGCGCGUAGGUGGCCUCAUAAGUCCGCUGUGAAAGUCAAAGGCUCAACCCUUUGAAAGCCGGUGGAUACUGUGAGGCUAGAGUACGGAAGAGGCGAGUGGAAUUCCUGGUGUAGCGGUGGAAUGCGCAGAUAUCAGGAGGAACACCAAUAGCGAAGGCAGCUCGCUGGACGUUACUGACACUGAGGCGCGAAAGCGUGGGGAGCGAACAGG